rnacentral:rRNA from 1 species
UUUAUGGAGAGUUUGAUCCUGGCUCAGGAUGAACGCUGGCGGCGUGCCUAAUACAUGCAAGUCGAGCGAACGGACGAGAAGCUUGCUUCUCUGAUGUUAGCGGCGGACGGGUGAGUAACACGUGGAUAACCUACCUAUAAGACUGGGAUAACUUCGGGAAACCGGAGCUAAUACCGGAUAAUAUUUUGAACCGCAUGGUUCAAAAGUGAAAGACGGUCUUGCUGUCACUUAUAGAUGGAUCCGCGCUGCAUUAGCUAGUUGGUAAGGUAACGGCUUACCAAGGCAACGAUGCAUAGCCGACCUGAGAGGGUGAUCGGCCACACUGGAACUGAGACACGGUCCAGACUCCUACGGGAGGCAGCAGUAGGGAAUCUUCCGCAAUGGGCGAAAGCCUGACGGAGCAACGCCGCGUGAGUGAUGAAGGUCUUCGGAUCGUAAAACUCUGUUAUUAGGGAAGAACAUAUGUGUAAGUAACUGUGCACAUCUUGACGGUACCUAAUCAGAAAGCCACGGCUAACUACGUGCCAGCAGCCGCGGUAAUACGUAGGUGGCAAGCGUUAUCCGGAAUUAUUGGGCGUAAAGCGCGCGUAGGCGGUUUUUUAAGUCUGAUGUGAAAGCCCACGGCUCAACCGUGGAGGGUCAUUGGAAACUGGAAAACUUGAGUGCAGAAGAGGAAAGUGGAAUUCCAUGUGUAGCGGUGAAAUGCGCAGAGAUAUGGAGGAACACCAGUGGCGAAGGCGACUUUCUGGUCUGUAACUGACGCUGAUGUGCGAAAGCGUGGGGAUCAAACAGGAUUAGAUACCCUGGUAGUCCACGCCGUAAACGAUGAGUGCUAAGUGUUAGGGGGUUUCCGCCCCUUAGUGCUGCAGCUAACGCAUUAAGCACUCCGCCUGGGGAGUACGACCGCAAGGUUGAAACUCAAAGGAAUUGACGGGGACCCGCACAAGCGGUGGAGCAUGUGGUUUAAUUCGAAGCAACGCGAAGAACCUUACCAAAUCUUGACAUCCUUUGACAACUCUAGAGAUAGAGCCUUCCCCUUCGGGGGACAAAGUGACAGGUGGUGCAUGGUUGUCGUCAGCUCGUGUCGUGAGAUGUUGGGUUAAGUCCCGCAACGAGCGCAACCCUUAAGCUUAGUUGCCAUCAUUAAGUU